UUAUGAUGUGGGAGUGAUUUCUUAUUAAUAAAGAAACUGCCUUGGCCCAUUUUAUUGGAUAGAAAAUUAGGUAGGCGGAGUAGACAGAGGAGAAUGCUGGGAAAAAGAAGCUGUGUGAGGAGUCGCCAUGGUUCUCCCGCUCCAGACAGACGCAGGUUAAGAUCCUCCCUGGACUUUUCAUGACAAUGAGACACGUCUGCUUCUGGCAGCACCAGCUACUUCAAGAGGAAGAUGGGCAUCGAAGAGGAUCCUUAUGGAUAGCCAUUUGGGCAAGAAACUGCUCUUGCCUGGACUAUUGCAUAAACUGGACACAGAGAACCCACAGAGAGAGGACUACUGAACUUGCCUAAAGGUGAGAUGGUCUUUCGGGGUUCCUGAUUCAUGAAGGAGUCUGCGAGACAUUCUGCAGGACACAGCAGAAAAUGACUGAACUGUCUUUAAAAUUUCCUGCUUCAUGGAAAUGUCUCUGGAUAACAUGGGCCUGUAGGCCAAAGAUGGAUGCCCCAACGGUACAGAGGAACUUUGGGUGACUGUCCAGGCAGCGAGAUGUCUCUGUCAUUUCUAGAAUUUUCUUAUUUCUUGUUACUUAAGUAUUAUUAUAUCCUUCUGGAGUCUUUGAUGGAGUUGAAGAAUGAAUAGUUAUAGUUUUCCUUAGUUAUGGUAAGAGAUAAAAUAGAUAUAAAUAUUGUAACUGUAAUUCUUACUUGAUAACUGUUUUGUUAUAUGUAAUUUUACUAUGUUAAAGUUAAAGCCUUUCUUUUUUGUUUAAACAGAAAAAGGGGAAAUGAUGUGGGAGUGAUUUCUUAUUAAUAAAGAAACUGCCUUGGCCCAUUUUAUUGGAUAGAAAAUUAGGUAGGCGGAGUAGACAGAGGAGAAUGCUGGUAAAAAGAAGCUGUGUGAGGAGUCGCCAUGGUUCUCCCGCUCCAGACAGACGCAGGUUAAGAUCCUCCCUGGUAAGCCAGCUCGUGGGCUACACAGAAUAUUAGAAAUGGGUUAGAACAAUAUGUAAGAGCUAGCCAUAAGGAACUGGAACUAUCCGGGCCAGGCAGUGUUUGAAAGAAUA